UAAGACGAACCGUGCGAACGUUGUUCGGAAUCACUGGGCUUAAAGGGCGCGUAGGCGGGUGGCCAAGUCAGAGGUGAAAUCCCACGGCUCAACCGUGGAAGUGCCCCUGAAACUGGUCAUCUCGAGGGAGGUAGGGGCGUGCGGAACUUCCGGUGGAGCGGUGAAAUGCGUAGAUAUCGGAAGGAACGCCGGUGGCGAAAGCGGCGCGCUGGACCUCUUCUGACGCUGAGGCGCGAAAGCCAGGGGAGCAAACGGGAUUAGAUACCCCGGUAGUCCUGGCCCUAAACGAUGGGUACUAGGUAGUGGACUUGACAUGGGUUCACUUCCGAAGCAAAAGUGUUAAGUACCCCGCCUGGGGAGUAUGGUCGCAAGGCUG
rnacentral:rRNA from 1 species